UUUAAGCAUAUAAGUAAGCGGAGGAUAAGAAACUAAAUAGGAUUCCCUUAGUAAUGGCGAAUGAACAGGGAUCAGCUCAGCAUGGAAAUUGGGGCCCUCGGCCUUGAAUUGUAGUCUCGAGAUGUAUCGCCAACGGAGGCGCAGAUGUAAGCCUCUUGGAAAGGAGCAUCAACGAGGGUGAGAGUCCCGUUUGUCAUCUGCAGUCCCCCGUGCACGGCAUACCUUCUAAGAGUCGCGUUCCUCGGAAUUGGAGCGUAAAUUGGGUGGUAAAUUUCAUCUCAAGCUAAAUAUUGGUUCGAGACCGAUAGCAAACAAGUACCAUGAGGGAAAGAUGAAAAGGACUUUGAAAAGAGAGUUAAAAGUGCCUGAAAUUGCUGAAAGGGAAGCGAAUGGAACCAGUGUUGCUUGGCAGGAUUGUCGGGUGCAUGACGCUCCUGAUCGUCUCCUGCCUUGUGUGUCAACGCCAGUUCGCGAUCGAGGAAAACUCCAGGGUCAUGGUAGCUUGUCUUCGGGUGAGUGAAUAGCCUUGGCAGAACUCAUUUGCGGACUGUUUCUUUCGUGUCUGGUUGCAGUGUCUUUGGCACCUUGGAGAUCUCGGCUUGGCCUGCCACAGUCGGGUGACCCAGGUGACUUGGGCAUUUCCCUGACGCAAAGACGAUGACUAAAUGGUUCUAUUCGACCCGUCUUGAAACAC
rnacentral:rRNA from 2 species